rnacentral:lncRNA from 1 species
GAACUGAAGAAGAAGCUGUUCAACCACCUGUGGGUAUUGAACUGGGAGUGGUGUCUGAGGUACUGGGUGGUUGGGGCUGUGAUAGACCAGGGGCUGCUCAUGCAGCACCACCUCAAGAAGUGGGCAUCCAGUGCAUGUACCAACAUUACUCUGUCCAGGAAGAAGCACAGAAAACUUCUCCAGCAGAUCCAGCUUGCCCAGAAAGAGAAGGCAGCCAUGGAAGUGGAAGCCCCCCAAAACUAGCCAGGACUAGUGAGCCACAGCUCAAAAGGCAAAAGAGGACAAAAGCCCCCUAGGAUGAAGAAAUGAAGGACCUUU